CCAAAGGAGCCGGGGUUACAGCUGAGCUGGAAGAGCACUUAAAUGGCAUGCAUGAGAUCCUUGGUUCAAUCCGCAGAAAACAAAAACAAAACCCAAAAACCGAAACCAUGUACUGUGGUUCAACCCUUGGGAGGAGGCAGAGGCAAGAGGAUGAGUCAUUGAGGGCCGACCUCAGCUGCUUAGAGGGUUUACAGGUCACCGGAGAAGCUGAAGUAGAAGAACAUAGUUGGUUUGCUCCUGAGCCCUAGAGGGCUUUCCAGAAACAGCGUGACAAGGAGACCUUCCGGAGAGGCUAAUGACGUGUAGGCUGGGACACAGAGAGGUACAAUCGGGAUGUUGAAGUUCGGCAUUCUAAGAUACCAGGCCUUCUUUCUUCUAUAGAGACCCAAGAAAAAUAUGCAAAUGUUCUUGAGAGGAAAGCCAACCACUCCAUAUACCACAACAGAGACCGUGUUGAUUGCUCUACUGGAGUUGCUAGGCAACCACUUGGUAAUUCCCCUCGUAAUAGAGAUGAGCCUGUCGUCUGCUUUCUUGGCUGGCUGUGACACGGGGAGACAACAGGUAAAGGACAGCUGAGAACACCUGCACCUGGAUGACACCAUCACCCCUGCUGGGGUGUGAUGACACUGGAGAAAAUCCCCAUGCCCUGUCACAAGUUGCUGCAGGGAGAAUUUCAUCAGACUAUUAUUACGUGGCAUUGCCAUGAGUUCUCCCGGAUUCACCCCGUGGGCAGAUCCUGUGGGUGAUCCUGUUAUCUCUGACCACAAAGCCGAAGACCAAAAGCACUGCGGCUCUGCAGGUGGAUGGCUGUCACUUCAAUGAGGGCUCCGGAUCCUGUCCCCGGGCUCCAGUGGAUGAGGCUUACACUAGAUAAAAGCAGCUUUUCAAGUCUUAAAAGGGACACGGGUAAACUACAAAGAGACCCAAGUUCUGGGUGAGCAGUUCACACUUUUUACACCAGUAGAAAAGACUUCUUAAUGAUGUCUUUGUUUUUGUAUGGUUUCCAAGGUGCAUGGUGGCCUUGUAAGGAAUCCACUGAGCUGCAGGUCUUGACACCGUCACCAUCUUCAAAACAGGUUGAAAACAUGAUAAAGCAUGGGGCGGGGGGGAUGAAUGCUUUAUCUGUCUCAAAUCUUCUUUGACAUUAAGCAAGGAAAAGAGAAUUUAAAUUUAAAUUAGGAGGACUGACUUUUUCAUUCAAAUUUUCAAAAGGUUGUCCCCACCCAAAUUAAAAAAAAAAAAAAGCCAUCCAGCCUAUGGUAUUUGAGUCUUUGGAAACUGAUUGCUUGCUUUCCAGCCUUCGUUUUGAGAUCUUGGGCUCCAAGAUUAGGCAAUCAGCCCCUGAGAAGCAAGUUCUGGACGGAGAUAUACCCUCCAGGUAGUCCUGAUGAACAACUGGGCAGGACUUCAUCCUAACAUCAGGCAGCUGCUAGUUCAGCCCGUUGAGGUGCUGUCCCAGCUAUGGCAGGAGAGGAGCUGGUCAGAAGAAGAGACACUUAUGCCCUUCCCUUUGGCUAUCAGGCUAUUGAAACAAUAGACUCCAGAUAAUUAAAAUUUCCCCAGGAAUCCCAUGCUGGUGGAAGGGAAAGACUUAAGUCCUGGCACCAGCUAGCUAGAGGAACUUGUUUCCCAGGAAGACAUUCCACAGGGCUCUGACAACUCCACGUUGCAGAUUUCCUGACUUAUUUCAUCUUAUCUAUAGAGCUGUAAUGCUGCUACGGAGGAA